rnacentral:rRNA from 1 species
GCAGUCGAACGAUGAUCCUGGAGCUUGCUCUGGGGGAUUAGUGGCGAACGGGUGAGUAACACGUGAGUAACCUGCCCUUGACUCUGGGAUAACCUCCGGAAACGGAAGCUAAUACCGGAUAUGACGCACGGAGGCAUCUCCUGUGCGUGGAAAGAAUUUCGGUCAAGGAUGGACUCGCGGCCUAUCAGGUAGUUGGUGAGGUAAUGGCUCACCAAGCCUACGACGGGUAGCCGGCCUGAGAGGGUGACCGGCCACACUGGGACUGAGACACGGCCCAGACUCCUACGGGAGGCAGCAGUGGGGAAUAUUGCACAAUGGGCGAAAGCCUGAUGCAGCAACGCCGCGUGAGGGACGACGGCCUUCGGGUUGUAAACCUCUUUUAGUAGGGAAGAAGCGAAAGUGACGGUACCUGCAGAAAAAGCACCGGCUAACUACGUGCCAGCAGCCGCGGUAAUACGUAGGGUGCAAGCGUUGUCCGGAAUUAUUGGGCGUAAAGAGCUCGUAGGCGGUUUGUCGCGUCUGCUGUGAAAUCCCGAGGCUCAACCUCGGGUCUGCAGUGGGUACGGGCAGACUAGAGUGCGGUAGGGGAGAAUGGAAUUCCUGGUGUAGCGGUGGAAUGCGCAGAUAUCAGGAGGAACACCGAUGGCGAAGGCAGUUCUCUGGGCCGUAACUGACGCUGAGGAGCGAAAGCGUGGGGAGCGAACAGGAUUAGAUACCCUGGUAGUCCACGCCGUAAACGUUGGGCGCUAGAUGUGGGGACCAUUCCACGGUUUCCGUGUCGCAGCUAACGCAUUAAGCGCCCCGCCUGGGGAGUACGGCCGCAAGG